UCCCCCUUUAGGGGCAGUCUCGCUAGAGAGUGUAACUAGCGACAAGGGUUGCGCUCGUUGCGGGACUUAACCCAACACCUCACGGCACGAGCUGACAACAGCCAUGCAGCACCUGUGAAGGCUCCCCGAAGGGUCCCCUACCUUUUCAGGAGGGUACCACCAACAUGUCAAGACCAGGUAAGGUUCUUCGCUUAGCAUCGAAUUAAACCACACGCUCCGCUGCUUGUGCGGGCCCCCGUCAAUUCCUUUGAGUUUUAGCCUUGCGGCCGUACUCCCCAGGCGGGACACUUAUCGCGUUAGCUACGGCACGGAGGGGGUCGAUACCCCCCAUACCUAGUGUCCAUUGUUUAGGGCGUGGACUAC
rnacentral:misc_RNA from 1 species